AUUUAAAUAGUUUAACAAAAAUAUUGAAUUGUGAUUUCAAAGAUGUUUAUUAACUUUAAAUU
rnacentral:tRNA from 1 species